UACCAGCGACCCCGAGUGGUCGGGACGUUUUAUUGGGCCUAAAGGCAUCCGUAGCCGGUUCUACAAGUCUUCCGUUAAAUCCACCUGCUUAACAGAUGGGCUGCGGAAGAUACUAUAGAGCUAGGAGGCGGGAGAGGCAAGCGGUACUCGAUGGGUAGGGGUAAAAUCCGUUGAAUCCAUUGAAGACCACCAGUGGCGAAGGCGGCUUGCCAGAACGCGCUCGGACGGUGAGGGAUGAAAGCUGGGG
rnacentral:rRNA from 1 species